GAUGAACGCUGGCGGCGUGCCUAAUACAUGCAAGUCGAGCGAACGGACGAGAAGCUUGCUUUUCUGAUGUUAGCGGCGGACGGGUGAGUAACACGUGGAUAACCUACCUAUAAGACUGGGAUAACUUCGGGAAACCGGAGCUAAUACCGGAUAAUAUUUUGAACCGCAUGGUUCAAAAGUGAAAGACGGUCUUGCUGUCACUUAUAGAUGGAUCCGCGCUGCAUUAGCUAGUUGGUAAGGUAACGGCUUACCAAGGCAACGAUGCAUAGCCGACCUGAGAGGGUGAUCGGCCACACUGGAACUGAGACACGGUCCAGAGUCCUACGGGAGGCAGCAGUAGGGAAUCGUCCGCAAUGGGCGAAAGCCUGACGGAGCAACGCCGCGUGAGUGAUGAAGGUCUUCGGAUCGUAAAACUCUGUUAUUAGGGAAGAACAUAUGUGUAAGUAACUGUGCACAUCUUGACGGUACCUAAUCAGAAAGCCACGGCUAACUACGUG
rnacentral:rRNA from 1 species